AUUGAACGCUGGCGGCAUGCCUUACACAUGCAAGUCGAACGGUAACAGGUCUUCGGAUGCUGACGAGUGGCGCACGGGUGAGUAAUACAUCGGAACGUGCCCGAUCGUGGGGGAUAACGAAGCGAAAGCUUUGCUAAUACCGCAUACGAUCUACGGAUGAAAGCAGGGGACCGCAAGGCCUUGCGCGAACGGAGCGGCCGAUGGCAGAUUAGGUAGUUGGUGGGAUAAAAGCUUACCAAGCCGACGAUCGGUAGCUGGUCUGAGAGGACGACCAGCCACACUGGGACUGAGACACGGCCCAGACUCCUACGGGAGGCAGCAGUGGGGAAUUUUGGACAAUGGGCGAAAGCCUGAUCCAGCCAUGCCGCGUGCAGGAUGAAGGCCUUCGGGUUGUAAACUGCUUUUGUACGGAACGAAAAGACUCUGGUUAAUACCUGGGGUCCAUGACGGUACCGUAAGAAUAAGCACCGGCUAACUACGUG
rnacentral:rRNA from 1 species